rnacentral:rRNA from 1 species
GGAUUUCUGUCGUGGUCAUCCGGCUCCGCCUGUAUAGGUGUGCGCCUGGUUUGCCCUCGGCUUUCUUCCGGUAGCCUACCGCGCUUCACUGCGUGCGUGGGUGUUUUCCGGAACUUUUACUUUGAGAAAAAUAGAGUGUUUCAAGCAGGCUUGUCGCCCUGAAUACUUCAGCAUGGAAUAAUAAGAUAGGACCUUGGUUCUAUUUUGUUGGUUUCUAGGACCAAGGUAAUGGUUAAUAGGGACAGUUGGGGGCAUUCGUAUUUAACUGUCAGAGGUGAAAUUCUUAGAUUUGUUAAAGACGAACUACUGCGAAAGCAUUUGCCAAGGAUGUUUUCAUUAAUCAAGAACGACAGUAGGGGGUUUGAAGACGAUUAGAUACCGUCGUAAUCUCUACCAUAAACUAUGCCGACUAGAGAUAGGGAAUGCAUUAUCCCAAUCUUCCCUGCACCUCAUGAGAAACCAAAGUCUCUGGGUUCUGGGGGGAGUAUGGUCGCAAGACUGAAACUUAAAG